UACAGGGGGUGCAAACGUUGCUCGGAAUCAUUGGGCGUAAAGCGUCCGUAGGUGGCUAGUCAAGUCUGCGGUCAAAGACUGGGGCUUAACCCUGGAAAGGCCGUGGAAACUGACGAGCUAGAGUGCAGUAGGGGUAGAGGGAAUUCCCGGUGUAGCGGUGAAAUGCGUAGAGCUCGGGAAGAACAUCGGUGGCGAAAGCGCUCUACUGGACUGCAACUGACACUCAGGGACGAAAGCUAGGGGAGCGAAUGGG
rnacentral:rRNA from 1 species